AGAUAUUUUCUUAGUUAUUACUGCCCACCCAGCCCAUCGCCCUCUUAAUUCUUAUGCCCAAGCCCAUCUUAAUUCUUAUGCCCAAACCCAAGCCUAAACUCUAAAGGUUAGCUGGUUACUGGUUAGUGGUUAGGGCAUUAGCAUUUAGCAAUUUAGAUUACAAUACAGUUGAGCGGCGAUUUGGCGAUUUCCGACUUCCUGGCGAUUUUCGACUUCCGAGCUCCGACUCCUCAUUCCUCAGUCCUCACAAAUUUCGGGCAAACGAAGAUGUUGCUGUUGCGAACUUGCGAUAGUUUCAAUUUUCAAAGUGCAAUUGGCUGUUCAGGUGUUCCUGAUGUUGCUGCUGCAUCUUAGUUACAAUUGCAGCUUGGCAGUGUGUAAAUGUUUGGCUGUUCAGGUGUUCUGCAGAUGGUUUGGUUGUUCAGGUGUUCUGCAGAUACUUGUUACAUAGCUUGUUCUGCAGAUGCUUGUUACAUGUUGUGCAGGUGUUCUGAAUGCUAGUCAUCUCUUCUAAAGAAUGACAAGAAUAAUUCUGAUUUUUCUUGCUUGGUUGCAGAUCUAUUAGCUUGGCUGCAGAUGCUUGUUCCAUGGCCUGAAGCCUUAAGUCUAAUUAUGUUGUGUGCCUGUGUCUGUUUAAGACUGAAGGCACAACUGCAUUUGUUACUAAUUGUAAUUUUCAUUCACAACUGCAUGCCUAAAUUCAAGCUGAUCUUCCCUCCUAUAACAGUGUAAACAAUCUAGUAAGUAAAUUUUUUCCUCA